rnacentral:rRNA from 1 species
GAUACCCUGGUAGUCCACGCCGUAAACGAUGUCUACUUGGAGGUUGGUGUCUUGAACACUGGCUUUCGGAGCUAACGCGUUAAGUAGACCGCCUGGGGAGUACGGUCGCAAGAUUAAAACUCAAAUGAAUUGACGGGGGCCCGCACAAGCGGUGGAGCAUGUGGUUUAAUUCGAUGCAACGCGAAGAACCUUACCUACUCUUGACAUCCACGGAAUCCUGCAGAGAUGCGGGAGUGCCUUCGGGAACCGUGAGACAGGUGCUGCAUGGCUGUCGUCAGCUCGUGUUGUGAAAUGUUGGGUUAAGUCCCGCAACGAGCGCAACCCUUAUCCUUGUUUGCCAGCACUUCGGGUGGGAACUCCAGGGAGACUGCCGGUGAUAAACCGGAGGAAGGUGGGGACGACGUCAAGUCAUCAUGGCCCUUACGAGUAGGGCUACACACGUGCUACAAUGGCAUAUACAGAGGGCAGCAAGACCGCGAGGUGGAGCGAAUCCCACAAAGUAUGUCGUAGUCCGGAUUGGAGUCUGCAACUCGACUCCAUGAAGUCGGAAUCGCUAGUAAUCGUGGAUCAGAAUGCCACGGUGAAUACGUUCCCGGGCCUUGUACACACCGCCCGUCACACCAUGGGAGUGGGCUGCACCAGAAGUAGAUAGCUUAACCUUCGGGAGGGCGUUU